ensembl:lncRNA
ACCGCGGGAAGCAGGACAUGAAGCGAUACAGAGGAAGCAGGAAGAAAAAGAGACCGACACAUGGUGGACUUUUCCGACGCAUGGUGGACUUUUCCCGGAGUACCGAUGUGGUGAUGCUUGACUGACAAAGACUGGGGGAAACGGUGUUUUAUGUCCUGCCGCGAUGUGUAUAUGUGAACUAGCUCAGCUAGCUCAAAGAUUUCUAUGUGCUGCCUUUCUGAUAUGUUUGCUGCCAUCAUGUCAGUGAAACAGGAUCACAGCUGAAGAAGAGGCUACAAGAGGUUUCCCGACUCAUUUCACGCACACACAUCAACCACAGCAUUAAAACCACCUGCUUAACUUUGUGUAGAUCCACCUGGUGCCAUCAAAACAGCUCUGGAGUGUCGGUGCGUGAACAUGGGACCUCUGUGGGCAUCCUGUGGUGUCUGAUGAUGAGAUAACAGGCUUGUUCUGGUGCAUUCUGUGGAUGCUCAAUCAGAUCUAAGUCGAAGGAGUUUGAAGGGAAGGCUCAUGUCUUUGUCAUGUUCUUCAAUCUAUUCAUCUUUAGGAAGAUGGUACAAGCAAGAGUACAGCUGCAUGCCUGUCCAGCACAUUCAUCCUCCCCACCUCAAUGUUCUUGCCUUGAGUACAAUCUCCAGAGCUGAAUUUGGAUUGGACCAGGCCAAACUACCGCCUCCAAUCACGGUGUCAGGUGGAGUUCAAAAGGCUUACUCAUGCAGCGGUUGGCGGCAGUUUUUAUUCGGAGAGAUUGAGCGGCCUGGUGUAUUUUGUGAACAUUUGUGUUUGUGGUUGGGGUGCGUGUGGGGGUAAUAGCAAGCCAGGGAUCUCUGACUUGAGAAGAAACACUACUAGAGAAUUCUUUGUUAGUUUUCAGAUAGGGAUGUUGCAGCUGUGUUUUUGGUUUAGAGUUUUCUUUGUUUUGGUUGUCUUUUGUUUCUUUCAGUGUUUGUAAUAUCAGCUUCUGAGCAAAGUUUGCUUUCUGUUUUGUUUAUCUUGUUUUGCUUCCAUAGCACUCAUUUGCUUUGAACCCCCUCACUUUCUGUUGUUAUGCCCAUACCCCCUUUCACAACAACAAAAAAAAAACACUUAGAGAGCGCAGUACUCCGCCAAGGCAGCUCAGCUGUCUCAUUUCCUACAGCUGAAAUCUGGAAUAAAAAAUCAUGGUUUCCCAGAGACUAUGGGUUGAGGAGGAAUUGGAAGUUUGUCGGCUUAGACCUGGUGUCAUUCCAUCAGUGUUAAACUUCCCAGCUCAUCUUGGAAGAGUACGUGCCAGAAAGACCACGACCAAGCAGCCUUGAGAUCUUAGGCAGCGUCUCCCUGAGGUCCCUCUCUAUCUCCCCACACAUCCACCAACCACUGGAACACAUCUCCAAAGUUCUGCUGGGCCAGCUCAGCUUCCCCUCAGAAGAAGUGCUGCCACCUGCCAGAUGAAGGAGCCUUUUGAGAGGCAGCUGGCAUCGUGAUUGGACUGUACUUUGGUCUGUUCCAAUCCAGCUUCAGCUCCAGAGACGGCAGGCGGGACGAGUCAACGGAGGCCGGGUGGACGAAGGCAUGCAGCUGAGUACAAUCCAGAAAACAACAGAGGAGGAGUGCAGC